rnacentral:misc_RNA from 1 species
UUGAGUUUGCACGGUUGUUGCUGGUUAUUACAAGUGCACACCGUGUCUUUCUUUAUCCACCCCAUUGUGCAUCUCGGUACGCCUUUGCGCGUAGUCCUUUUAUAUCGUACACCUUUGUAAUGUUUAAAGAACGUGCUCGUAAUAAACAAUAGUA